GUCUCCCUCUGCCCACCCACCUGCACCUGACAGCUGUGGGCUGUGCUCUCAGGGAGGCACCGUCAGAUGCUACCAGACUACAGAGGAGAGCACCCUCAAUCCUGACUGAAGGUUUGGGAAAAGGCUGCUCAGAAGAGGUGAUACUUGAUAUGGGCCCUGGAGGAGGAGAAGCAGUUUGAGAAGACAGCAGUGAGAGAUGGCAUCCGGGCAGGCGAGAAAUGCAAAGGGAAGAGAGGUCAUCCAGGACAAAAGUACAGAAUGAAAAGAAAAAGCAACUAAGCACGAAAUCUUGGAGAAUGUCCUCAUUGAAGGGUCCUGAGCACCAAGGGUACAGUCAGAAAUGAUGAAUCCAGAAAUGAUGCCCUCCAGAACUUCUGGUGAGGAAGGCACUCAGGAAAAUGCAGCACCCUAUGGAGGCCCAGAAAGGAGGGCAUUCAGGAAGAACACAGUCUGAUGGUGUCAAGUGCAGCGGAGGCUAAGAGCCUCAGUGCCUCCUUCAGAGAUGCGGUGGAUAUUAGCUUCUGUUGUAUCCUUCAUACAGAACCUGGUGCUGAGAGACAGCUUCUUCUUUUUUUUUUUUUCUUUAAACUUUUCUUAAGACUAGUCAAGUACAGUAUCAAGAAGACGGGAAAGAGUAGAACAAGGAAUUGGAUCCGUAACUGACUGUGAACAAUCAAUUGAGGUAACUCAUUACCUUUGAACCAACCUGGGAGGCAGCCUUGUGACUCACCUCAAUCCUCAAUCUUCUCAGCUAGUUCACUUUGGCCUGGCUCAGGGGCUGACCUAGAAUGAUCCUGUCCAGAAGGACCCUGGAUGUUCUUAGAGACACAGACUGCUAGGGCUGGCAGGGACUUUUCAUCCAAUUCCUCUGUGACAGAGGAGGAAGUGGAGGUGCAGAAGGAGAGGUGAGCUGCCUGUGGUCCUUCAGCUUACUAAUGGCAGUGUUAGGACUGGACCUGAGGGCUCUUCCCUCCAGUCCGGCGCUAUUUAUUCCAUGACAGUGCCUCUCAAACUGUGUUCUCACAAGCAGCUAGUGCUCAGGCAGCUGGACUGAGGCCCUGCCUGCCAAAUCAAAUAUUGGAGGUCUUUCUCCAAUGUGCAGAAAAAAAAAGUAAUUAAUGGGUUAAGUUUCCUUAGGGUUAAAUUAUUUUUCCAUUAAUGCUUCUUAAACCAUUGUCACCUGCUACCAAUUGUCUACUAGCCAAUGCAUGCAGGCAACAAAACAAAAGGAUAAGCCACAAGUAAAUAAGAACAAGAACAACCAAAGCCUUGGAAACACACCAUCAUUCUUAAGUUAAAGGCUUAAAAAAAAAAUAGAGGAAGACUGCUAUGACUGUGGACUUUCUAUUGCAUUCACAUAAUAAAAUCAUGCGACAUUGUUUUGAAUUCAAAAAAAAAAAAAAAA
rnacentral:lncRNA from 1 species